UUUUUCUUUUUUUUUUUUUUGGCUUUUUGGGUCUGCGCCUGCGUCAUGUGGAGGUUCUCAGGCUAGGGGUUGAAUUGGCGCUAAAGCUGCUGGCCUACAUCACAGCCACAGCAACGCCCGAUCCGAGCCAAGUCUGCAAACUACACUGCAGGUCAUGACAACACAGGAUCCUUAACCCACUGAUCGAGGCCAGGGAUCGAACCCACAUCCUCAUGGAUACGAGUCAGGUUCAUUUCCACCGCGCCACAAUGGGAACUCCCUGGGGUGGGGGCUUCUUAAACACUUGGGUUGAGCUAUUGAGCUCUGAGUGAUGCCUCUCCAUGUAGCAGCUGGUGAAAGCUCCAGGCAGACUGCGAGGAGCAGGGCUGGGACCAGGAGUUUGCAAGCCCCAGAAGCCGCCAGGGACACAUAACAAGCCUGCUGUGCUGGGUGGUGCUGCCGCCAGGGCUUUCUAGGAGCUGAUGCCCCGAGGAGAGCUGGCAGGUUGGCAGUGGGGUUCUGAGAAUGUGCUGGCUGGGAGCCGCCCACCCCAGGGCCUGCCCGCAUUAAUCCACAGUGCUGGCUGCGCUGGGCUUUCACGCCUGGCGGGCCGGGAACACGUGGGCUCUCUUUACCAGGACUGCCAGCGUGGAAGACAUAGAGUGUGCUCUUAUCCUAGUGAGUGGGGGGGGAGGGGGAGCAGGCCUGGAGGGGGACCGGGGUGGGGCCUGCUCUGUCCCUCUGCCUUGAUCCCCAGUACCGGGCAGGUGUGCAGUCACCACCUGGGGACAGUCCUUCCAGCACCUAGUCAGGGUGGCGAGGCCAGUGGCAGGGGCCACAUCUGCCUGCUGCUCUCAGGGAGACCACGGGAGGGUCUCUUCCUCCUGGACGGGCGGGCGCCUCCCUGGGACCCAGCCCAGCCCAGCCCACAGGCUCCUUCGGGCCAGGCCGAGAAGGGUCCAGAUCACCCAGGCCCGCCCUCAGUCAUUCAUGCACUCAUCUCUUGUGGGCCUACGGAGAAGGAAGGAACAGGACAGACCGAGUGAGUCCUGGGGAGGAGACGCGUCUUAAAGACCUAAUUUCCCCGUCAUUUCUUCGAUCACAAGGUGAGAAGUGCCCCACAGGAAAGGAGAGGGUGCAAGAAGAACGGACGGUGGGGGCGGUGCUGCUCUGAGCUAGUCUGAUGGGGGAGGUGGCGGGGGCCAGAGUGGGCUGCUGCGGCCCGCAGGUGCGGGGGGAGACCUGGCUGCCGCUCUAGGCUCAGCCCAUCUUUUUUUUUUUUUUCGGUCUUUUAGGGCCGCAUCCUUGGCAUAUGGAGGUUCCCAGGCUAGGGGUCAUGUCGGAGCUGUAGCCACUAGCCUAUGCCACAGCCACAGCAACGCCAGAUCCAUGCAGCGUCUGCGACCUACACCACAGCUCAUGGCAGUGCUGGAUCCUUUACCCACUGAGCGAGGCCAGGGAUCAAACCUAUGUCCUCAUGGACACAAGUCAGAUUCGUUUCUGAUGAGGUACGAUUGGGAACUCCCACGCUCAGUCUUAACAGACUGCGCAGACUCCUGAGUGAGCUUCCCGCACUCUGGACCAGACCCAGUCUGCUCCAUCCACUGAGCAGCUGGGGGACUCUGGGGCAUAAGAUGCGGCCCCCUCCCUGAAGCAGAGGCAAUGGCAGAAACAUCACCCUCUCUGGGGGGGGGCGCUGAAGCUUUUUGAUGAAGCCCCUGCAUCACUACGUAAGUUUUGAACACCCUCCUCUAUGUACUGCUGGGUGAAUGUGUCUAAGUCUGGCCCUGGUCCCUGUGACUGCAUCAUCCUUAGAAUAAGGGUCUUUGCAGAGGCCGACACAUUAAGGACGGCAAGACGAGGCCAUCCUGGAUUUGGGGGACCCCACAUAGAAUGACCAGGUCCUGGGAGUGGCCUUUGCGGAUCAGUGGGUUAAGAAUCUGACUAGUAUCCAUGAGGAUGCAGGAUGGAUCCCUGGCCCCGCUCAGUAGGCUAAGGAUCCAGCGUUGCUGUGGCUGUGGCGCAGGCCGGCAGCUGUAGCUCCAAUUCGACCCCGAGCCUGGGAACCUCCAUACACUGCAGGGGCGGCCGUAAAAGGCAAAAAAAGGAAAGGACAGAACAGAACCACCGUGUCCUUAUGCCGAGAAGACGGGACACAGGGGAGGCGGUGUGCGAAGACGGAAGCAGAGGCUGGAGGGGUGUGGCUGCAGGCCCGGGGACACAGAGGACAGCCCCGGGAACGCGGGAACGCGGGGCACAGACGCGCUCUCUGGAGCCUCUGGAGGAACCGGCCCCGCCCACGCCUUCAUUUGGAAUUUCUGGCCUCACAAGGUGAGAGAAUACAUUUCUGCUGUCCUAAGCUGUCCCGUUUGUUACAGGAAACUGACACACUAAACACUGUAUGGCAGUUCUCACUGUGGAUGGCGGCGUCCGGAGAGCUGGGACGCGGGUUUGAUCCCCAGGCCGUCCCAGUGCGUUAAGGAUCUGGCGUUGCCACAGGGACGGCUUAGAUUACAACUGUGGAAUCGAUCUGAUCCUGCCCUGGGAGCUCCCUAUGCCACGGGGCUGCCAAACACACACACACACACACACAAAACCCACACCGGAUUAACUUCCUACUUGCUAUAAGACCACAAAGCAUCUGGCAGGGGCGGCGGGGGGCGGGGGGGCGGAAGGGGGGGAGAGAGAAGCAAAAUCCAGGGUCAUGGCUACCUGUGGGGCGGAGUGGGGGGCGCCGCACCUCAGCAGCCCCGACUGGCCUCACUGGUCCUGGCGCGUUCUCGCUUAAGUAGGCGGCGGUGCGUGGGCAUCCAUGCGUUAUUAUUUUCAGCCUGUCCUUUUGUACACACGAAUGAUUUCCUAACAGAAGUUUGCUCAGAGGGCACGGGGUUGGGAAGCAGGUGCAGGUGCCAAGUUCCUCUUCUGCGUGUCCCGGCCUGUGGUCUGGGACGUUCAUGUGUGCCCAGGGCUGAGGGAUGGGGCCACCUUACACCAGGAGAUCAGAGUGCCCGGUCAGGCGGGCAAGCCUUAUCUGCCCCCCUGGGCCCCGGGUGGGACCCCAGCUCCCGUCACACAGCUGGGUCCUUGGCAGUUCAAGUCCUUUCUGAUAAGAAAGGAAAAGAAUGGUCCUUUUGUCAGCGAACUUAACACCUGUUGACAAUAUAACCCAGACCUUUGUGGAAAUAUCUUAAACCCAGAGAGAGGUUAAGGCCACAGACGGGUCACCUCUGCUGAACGGCUAGAGGCUCUCUGUGCCCGUCUCCAUCGCUGUGGGCAGCGGAAAAGCAGGUUCUCUCCGCCCCUGACCCACUUCUCACCCAGCAACAUUAAUAUCAAUGCUGGGAACUGGAAGGUGAGUCGAGUACCGGCUGCCCCAUGUGCUCCUCCUCGCUGUGCCUUCUGGGAAUACAUGCAAGUAAUGGCCAGCACAGGGUCUGCAGGGUGGGGAGGUAUGGGGGUGCUGCCGCCAGGAACCCUCCUGGAGCCCAGUCCCCCAGCACACCCCCCAGUGCCCCCCCUCCCCCGUUCAACAAGCCCGCCCGGAGUCAGGAAAGCCUGCCCACGGCAGCACAGGCAGAGUCAGAUCUUGUCCCUCCCUGGCUCCUGACACACUUGGGAUAAACGCCAUAGCUCGCCCAGCCAGCUCCACUCACAGAGGCCACCUCUGUGGUCCUCAAACCUGCCAGGCUGGUUCCUGCCCCAGGGCCUUUGCACUCACUGCUCCUCUUUUUCCAGAACACUCUGACCUGGCCUCUGGCCUCUGGCCUCUCACCGCCACUGAGUUCUCACGCCAUAAAGUCACCUGCUCCAGGAGGUCACCUUGCCAAGCAGCCCCUCCCGUCCAGCUUGCUUCUCCUGCUCCAUCUCUCCCCACAGCUCCUGGCUGGCCACGGUCCCCGUGAGAGAGGGGGAAGCCAGGCGCCUCAGGCAGUGAGUCGAUGGGCUUGGUCCUGGAGCGGAGGGAGAGAGAGGUACCGGGCCAACUCCUGUCCCAGCUGCCGCAAGCCUGUGAGGUGCUGCGGGGCAGGUGCCCAGGGCACAGGGAGGGCAGCUGAACCCAGAUUCUGAGGGUGCAGACAGAGUGCAGGGGAAGGAGAUGGUGGGGGUCUCAGAGCCUGGGGCAUCACCUCAGGCCUGGGAAAGCAAGGCGUCUUCCUGGAAGAAGCAUCAUCGGCGGCAGGACAGAAAAAACAAGUAAGAGUGAGUCACGGGGAGGGUGGGAGGAAGGUCCAGGCAGAAGGACGAGCCAGCGCGGAGGCUGGGAGGAGAGCGCUCGUGGAGGCUGGGGCGUCUGCUGCUCCUUCGAAUCCUCUUGCCAGAGAUCUGGGUGCUCAGAUUUCCUCUGCCUGAUGGAAGGGGGAUUCUGCAAGGGGGGGAAGCGUGUCCUCCCUCCACUCCCUUCUCUGCCCCCCCCCCCGCUGUCCCUUUCUCACGGCCUGUGGGCCCCUCCCCGCAAGCCGUGCCGCUGGGGCUCCAGGGGGUGUGGGAACAGGGCCUCGGGCUCCCACCCACUGGCCAGGUGGCAACCUGCCCAAGGAUGACAAGCGAGUCUCUCGUGAGAAAAGACGAGGAGAACCUGUAAUAAAAACUGAAGAAACCCAAACCAGAGACCGGCCCAGCCAGCCUUCCGGGAAGCCAGGCGGAGCUGGGAGUGGCUUCGCCAGGGCUGUGGGCUGAGGCAGCUUGUCAGAGGCAGAAGUGGAGAUAGAAGCGCAGGCUGAGCAGCAGGACCAAGGCAGCAGGGCCAGGGGAUGCUUGCUGGGCCAGCGCCAGGACUGUGGCAGUCACCUGGAGGUCUGGAAGCACCUGCCCUUGGGCCCCCCAGAGCUCUGACCCCCGCUGAACGGUGGCAGGGGUGCCCCUUCCUCAAUACUAGGAACCUCGGACAGAUGAGAAGCUCAGCCAGGACGCUGGCCCCCAUUCGCCUGCUCACGUAACACUCAUUAUGUGUUACAAGCUGGACACUGUCCUGGGGGCUGGGACUGUCAAGCUCGGGGUCCCUAAGCUGGAGGGGCUUAUGGUCCUCUGGGAAGAAGUGACAGCAUCAGACACGUAGUAUAUAAAAACAACCACACAGGGAGUUCCCUGGUGGCCCAGGGGUUAGGAUUCUGUGCUUUCACUACUGUGGCACAGGUUCGACCCCUAGUCUGGGAACUGAGAGCCCACAUCAAGACAUUGCACGCCCUGACCAAAAAAAAA
rnacentral:lncRNA from 1 species